AACGGGGGAGAGGCAGAGAGAGAGAUGGAGACACAGAAUGUGAAACAGGUUCAUGUGAGAUCAUGACCUGAGCCGAAGUCAAAUGCUUAACUGACUGAGCCACCCAGGUGCCCCUGGGCCUCACCUUCUUGACCCUCUUGGCCAGCACUGCCGCAAAACAACAACAUCAAGAAGAAAAAACACCCCUGUCCCUGCCCCUUUUCCCAGAAAGCAGCAGCAGCACCUGCAGAAGUGCAGCCUUUUAAAUCUUAUGCAAUUGCAUCCGAUUGGCUGACUCUGAAUUAUAUCCUGAAUCUCGACAGCAAGGGAUACUGACAAAUGUAGUGUUUUGUUUAUUUAUUAUUAUAAUUGUUAUUAUUUACUUUUCUUGUUUCUUCAGUCUAGGUGGGGCACCUAGCAGAAGGUAGAAUGGAUUAAGAUCCAGUCCAUAAUGUCCCCUGCACACUGUCUCCUAGACUUCUGUAAGAUGCUAGGUGCAGGCAGCUCUGUUCUUGGAUCCUGCGCCAGGGAAAGGCAGAGGGCGAUGCAUUCUCCCACCGUAACACAGACCACUGUACAGCUUUGGCACCUUGAGGGCUCGGCCACAUCAACCGUGCCCUUUGUGGGUGGUCCUGGGGCGAGGUUUGGCACCAGGUCAUUGCAUCGGAUGAGAAAACUCCUAGGCCUGUCCAGGAAUAAUAGUUGGCGGGAUUUUGGAAGCAGCUGGGAGCAGCAAAUAUUGGUUAUUGGGGUCUGAGUGGUUUCGUUUAACUCCUAGCCAGAUCUACCUUUGGAAACACUACCAUGAGCACCUAGGACGUGCCAGGCACUGCGUCGGGGGUUGGAAAUACAGAGAGGAAUGGAGUACGGUCCCCGCUGCCCUCUUUGUGUCUCCUUUUCCAGCCUGAGAAGAGAUGUGGAAAACAGAUGAAAGGAUGCCCAUGGCACUGAGGGUGCACAAAGGAGAACAGGGGAGCUUCCCAGGAGAAGUGACAUUUGAGAUGAGUCCUGAAAGGCCAAGGAUGCUGGGAGGAGGUGUGGGUAAGGGACAAGGGCACAAGUGAGAACGACAGCGGAGUCUCAGAGAGCCGGGCGUGAAGAGAUGUGGGGCAGGAGACCACGUUUGGGAAACCAGACCGGGGGUUUCUCAAGGGGCGAGUCUCAGCCUCCGCAUCCAGACCGGGCUGGCGUUCCUGUGCUGGGCACCUGUGUCUGGCCAGUGCUGCAGUCUGUUCCCUGCUCUCCUCAGGCUGCAGGAUGGGGUUUGCUGCCUCUGCUCGCACAGACUGCUGGGAAUGACUCACGGUUGAGGAGGAGCCGGGGAAGCCACGGGCCUCUGCCCAGGCUGGAGGCUAUGUGGAGGCCUCUCCCCCAGGGGUGGUGGCAGCGGAAGAAACUAGCCCAUGUGGACAGGGUGGCCCCUGUCACUCCGCUCUGGGCCUCAGAGGGAGUUAAUGGAACCCCUGCCCCUGGCUCCCUCCCCCAGUCCUCCUUGGGCUCUGCAUCCCUCCAAGGCAGGGCUGCCCCUCCCUCCCUGCAUCCCACUCCAUCCUGACGGCCAGCCUCCCUGGCUUGGGUGGCCAAGGGUACCGGUGGUGGGGUCAUUACAGGACACCGCUGCCCGAGGGUCAGAAUAGAGGAGGCCCAGCUGUCAGCUGGAACCCAUCAGAAGCCCAACCAAGCCCUGGCAGCAGGCGGCAGCGGGGAGGGCAGCUAAUGAGAAAGGUGUCCCUGUAGCUGCAGUUUCUUAACCCUUGCCACCCCCACCCCCCGUCACCAGGGUGUGUCCUGAGAUUUUCCCACGGUGACAGGUGACUCCAGGUCCCUCAUUCCUCAACCCAGGUUGGUGGGAGUGGGCUGGGCUUAAUUUAAUGGAGAGACCCGGCCCCUGCCUUAGGGAAGGGAAUGAAACAACGUAGCUCUUGUUUUCAGGGAGACCUUAGUCUUUUGGAGAAAAUGUAGUUCAGACCUAGUCUGAAGGGGGAGACACAGCCCUGCCCCCAGGGAACCCCAGUCUGAGGGGAGACACAGCCCUGCCCUCAGGGAGCCCCAGGCUGAGGGGGGAGAGACACAGCCCUGCCCUCAAUUUGCUCAGCAUCAGAGAUGGGAGAGGUUUUGUCUUCUUAUGAAACUAAGACAUCCAGGGGCGCCUGGGUGGCUCAGUCGGUUAAGCGUCCGACUUCAGCCCAGGUCACGAUCUCGCGGUCCGUGAGUUCGAGCCCCGCGUCGGGCUCUGGGCUGAUGGCUCACAGCCUGGAGCCUGCUUCCGAUUCUGUUGUCUCCCUCUCUCUCUGACCCUCCCCUGUUCAUGCUCUGUCUCUGUCUCAAAAAUAAACAUUAAAAAAAAAAAAGACAUCCCUAUAAUAGCACAACUUUUGACUUUCUUUGAGAUUUUGUGAAGAACCAGCAACUCGAACACACAUCCUCGGCCUCUCAAAAUCUGGGAACGAGGCGUCUGCAGAUCCAGAUUGCCGUCACUAGGGGACAGGUUUGCCCUGGUUGCCCUCCUCAGCCACCUGCUUUUCUAAGACCUCUCCUCAUCCCGAAAACCACUCAGCGAGUGGGUUAUUUUCAGGAGCUCAUUCAACUCCUUCUUUGGUAUCCACGUAACUUAUGUAACUCAUGGCUUUCAAUUAACAAUUGAAGUGGGCGAGCAAGAGCACAAAAGGAAACAUGUCUACGUGCAACUGGCCUUUCUUCAACUGCGUGGUUUAGAUGUCCGUGAUUUAUUUUCCACAAUUAGCGGCUGGCCUUCUCCCAACUUCUCUCUCAGUUCUGAUGGUAGGAUCCGCCGCUGGCUGGGCACGGCAGCCUGGCGAAGCUGUCUGAGGGCACCCUUUCCUCUGCUGGGAUCACCGAAGCGUUCGGGCCUCUUGGUUACUGGACUGCCCAGGGCUAAUUAUAAAGCUCUCCAGGGAGAGAGGUGGGGUCCGGGCCCGCAGGCAGGCUGAGGAGGAAAGGCUCAGAAGUGCAGGUGCUUUUGCGGGACUUUGCUGUACUCUUCGGCUUUAGGCAAGUUAUUCCACCUCUGGGGCCUCAAUUUUCUCAUCUGUUAAAUGGGAGCGAGCAAUGGGGUUAGGUGGUCCCUAGAGUCCCCUGUGCCUGGACUUUGAUGCUCUUGCCUACUUCCUUUCCCACCCCCACCCUGGGCUCUCCUAACACCCUGUCGUGGUGACGGUGGGUGCGUCAAUCACAACCUUGGUCGGCAAUCGAUGUAAUCAACAAGCGUACCACCAGGCAGCCUUGUGCGGUGGCCGAAGGGCUGCUGCCCGCAUUUUUUUCCCAGCCUUAGGCUGACACUCUGAUGCCUGAGGAUGGUGUGGGUCCACAGCCCAGGGAGGCUGUCGGGUCACAUUUCCUGGAACCCUGAGCCAGCUUCUGGACUCCACCCCAAAGGAGCCCCCCCACCCCCAUCCCCGGCACAGUGAGCUGAGCACGCACAGGGGGCUGGAGACACGUGAAUGCCACGACCAUCAGAUAUGUACUGAACCAUGUCCUGGGCUGGGCAGGGGGAUGAUUUAGAUGAGCGGGUGGAUGUGGCUCAGUUCUUCGUGAUAUUUAGAGUCAUGUACGUGGGCUCUGAUGUCAGUCUCCAGGUUCAAAUCUUGGUCUCAUGCUGCCUUGGGCAAGAUACGGGGCAUAUAUCUUGGUUCGUCCACCUGGAAAAUGGGAAUGCUAAUAGAAGUACACCGACAGGUAAGGAUUGGAUGAGUCGGUCAAUAUAAAGUGUUUAGAGCCCAGGGUGUGAUUAUUACAACUUUUGUUUCCUGAGCACCAACUCUGUGCCAGGAAGUGUCAUGACAUGUGGUGUAAACCAGAUCCCUUACAGGGCAGGAGAGAGAUCAGUUCUGGCUUGGCUGAGGAAAGAGGCCUCAGGCAAGAGUUGGUACCACAGUUCGGUCUUGAAGGAUAGAGCUAAAUACAGAAAUGACACUGGGCAAGGGCAUUCCGCGAGGAGGAGACAGCGUGAACCAAAGCAUGGAGGCAGAUUACAAAGCCCAUGGGGAGUGCUUUCAAGGGCGCACCUUGGCUGACAACCCGGAGAGGAUCCCACCUGCUUGGCUGACACGCCCUCCCCUUCCACGCUGGGGGCUUCCUGCUCUGAUGUUCAUUUUCCAGGUCCUGGAGUUCCCCAGCAGAGCCUGGGGGUGAGGAAGGAAAUCGUAGAGCCCUGGCUUCCUGAGCCCUGCCCACGCCCCCCUGAGCAGACCAAGUUCAUCUACCUUUCUAGGGGAUCCAGCCCAGGGCACGCCGCUUGGCACAGCCUAGGUAGCAUAUGUUGGCUCCGUCUGCCAGGGCCUCACUGUUCAGGGGAGUCUAGGAGCCCUCGGGGGACCAAUAGCGAAGGCACUGAAACAGGCACAUCAUAAUAUAAAUCCAAGAGCAGCCCCAGCAG